UAUAUGUGCAAAUAUAUAUUUAUUUAUGCAAAGUAGUUUAAUUUUUCCUUUGAAGGUUUUGUUGUUUGUCUUCUUGGAGCUAGAAAUAAGUUUUCUGAACCUCUGGGCUCUUUGAAGUCUGGUCAUGCUUGGGGAUAACUGACAGUGUCAUCGAAGCCACUCUUUUAAGAAGAUUGAAGGUACAAGAUGUGAGUUAUAUUGAGUUAUUUGGACGAGUUUUUCAAAUAUUGAUCAUCCAGCAAACUCAUACCUCGUCUCCUACUCUCUGUGCCAUUUUCUCCCUCCCACUUUUGGUCUCUUUUCUUUCCUCAUCUUUCCUCAUAUCAUUGUCCAGUUUUAGCAAAAGUAUCAGAGGAUGUACUAGCUUUGUAAGUAAAUUUAGCUGUUUCACAUUUUCCAAAUAAACUUUAGAGAUUUUUUCCUGUAUUGUCAUAAAGCGAUUCCCUUUAAAAGUAAACUGUGUUUACUUGCACAACACCCCUAUCUUUAGCAAAUGACUUUGUGUCUUCCCUGCUGUUACUGAAUUUUCUCAUUUUUCCUUGACCACUUAGCCACCCCUUUGUGCCCCCCAACCGCCGCAAUACACAGCUCCUUACCCAUCCUCCCAAAACAUGAAAGGAAACAUUCCCAGCUCCAGACACUAAGAUCAGUAAAUUGCAGGGCUCUGAUGUCCUCCAUGAAUGCAGGCCUUAUGAAAUAUACCAGUGACAACUUAGGAAGAAGAUACAUACUUCCAUUCAACUCCCCAUGAAGCCUAACCCAAAGGGACUCUGUAGGAUGGAUGGCCAGGCUCAAGCACAGCUUAGAGCCAGAGCCAACACCAGAAAGAGGGACAAAGCUUUGGCCUUCUCAAAAAGGCCAAUGUCCUACCAGAAAACCUAGAACAGCUCUGCAACCCAGGUGCCCUUAUUCUAACUGACCUAACAGGCACUAAAUGUGGUAUUCUUCUGAUGUGCCAGGCAGUGUCCAAUUGCAUACACUGUAGAAUUUAACAUUUUUGCUUUCCUGCACAAAUAAAAAUUAAAAGUAAUAUCUGAGUACAUAAGAAGUUGCAGAUGACUGCUAACAUCCUUAAAUGGGUUCACAGAAUAAAAGCCAAAUUCUCAUCUCCUACCUCCCCUUCCUAGAUAUACUACAUUCUGACCACGGGGGGUUAUUGGCAUGUGUGCUUGUUUCACAUGCCUGGACAUUUGCACAUAUCUUUCCUUCUUCCUGGAAUGUUCCUCCAGUUCCUAUUCAUCCUGCAAGACAAAGCAGUAGUCCUUUAUUAUGAAGCCUUGGUAGACACCUUGCUGAUCUUAGAUCCUCCUUCCCUCCCAAUUUCACUUUGUGGCUCUAUUACAUCAAUAACCCUACUGUGCAGUACUCAUUUGGCGGCCUUCAAAUCUUCCUAGCCAGGCCACAUACUCAUUAAGCCCAGGAAUGUGUCUAUUUACCUAGUAGGCAAGUGUCCAAUAAGUAUUUAUUGAAAAACUGAACAAGUGAAUAAACAGAUAUUCCUCGAAGGCAUAGGGAAGGCUUUCUUCCUUCUCCCACAGUUCUCCUCCUUUAUGUGACAUGGAGAGGAUGAGAAUAGAUCCUGCCUAUUUUAAGUACUAUAGAAAAUAUUUAGAGAUGGGGCAUCCCCAGUAAUCACUGGGAAUGGAGAAACUGGCUCUGGACAAUUUAAGAAAAAAGUUUUGCUGAAAAGAUAUUAUGUGCCUCCAAGAAGCACUAGAAAGACAGAAGAACAGACUCAAAAACUGAACACAAAGAAAAGACAGUGAGGGACUGUGACCAGAGCCAGAGUGAGGCCACUGGCCAGUCUAGGACCUCCUGCUGAUGCUUCCUCUCUACAUAAGCAGCUGGAAACUGCCCCUAGCCCAGAGAGCUGACCCCAGACACCACUUCUGCUCCUAGACAUUGCAAAUGGUUGCUAUCAUCAGACCAACUUCUGCCCUGUUGUUCCCUCACUGUAUCUGUAGUUCCAUAUCUAAAAUACUGUGAGCUGUGCCUAAUUUACAUCCCCACAUCCUAACUGCAAGAUGGAAUGAGAAAGGGCCAUGCUGCUUCUCCAGCUUCUAUAGUGGGAGGUGGGUUCAUAAAACAAGAAAUCUCUCAAAAAUCAGAUGGAGAGCUGAAAUGAUGACAAAUAUCCCCUACAUGUCCCAAGCCUGUCUUCACAUGGUAAUGGCUGCAUAAAGGAAGCAGGGUUGUUUCCUGUUUACAUUUUUGAAUGCCACCUCACAACC
rnacentral:lncRNA from 10 species